CCCUUAGAUGUCCGGGGCUGCACGCGCGCUACACUGAAGGAAUCAGCGUGCUAAAACCAUUGUCGAAAGGCAUUGGUAAACCCAUUAAAAUCCUACGCGAUUGGGAUCGGGAAUUGCAAUUAUUUCCCUUGAACGAGGAAUUCCCAGUAAGUGUGGGUCAUAAGCUCGCGUUGAUUACGUCCCUGCCCUUUGUACACACCGCCCGUCGCUGCCCGGGACUGAGCCGUUUCGAGAAAAGCGGGGACUGCUGCUGUCGGGGCUUUCGGGCCUUGGCUUCGGUGGAAACCGCUUUAAUCGCAGUGGCUUGAACCGGGCAAAAGUCGUAACA
rnacentral:rRNA from 1 species